GCACUGUUGUACCAUCCUGACAAGAUGUUGCAUUACUUCCACUGUACCCCUCCACUACGUGGUGGCAACGCUCCACACGUAGGCACGCAGCAAACACUUAACGAGCAUAAGUAAAUUUUGUGUUUUUACACUUGCAAUAUUUGCUUUGUUUUGUGUAUGCAGCUCAGCGUUUUAAGGAAGUAAUUGUUUUGAAUCCUCGUAAACUUCAAUUUCAAGAAAAUAAAAAUGUAUAAGAAAUGCAUUGUAAUUCUCAGACAACGACGGUAUUUGUUAACGCGCAUCGGAUCCGGGGACGAGUGGGUUUCAUUGCUUGUUUCCUCAAAAGUAGUUCAGUCAUCUAUAGGCGAUGGAAAGUUUUCAGAUUCCGCCAUUAUCAACUUUACUUUUUAACUCUUAGCGGGUUAUAUUUUCUCAAAUAGUCUCCAAAGCAAUUACCCUUCACUCAUCGUUAAUCAAGUCAUACUGAGUAUACUAUUCUGAGGAGGCCUCGGGUAACCUUGUCCCUGGGAGUCUACCCCAACGGCCGGCGGCUACACUGCAGUGUGGCGCACGGCUGCCUGAGGUGACGGAGCUCACACAUGAGGAGUUCGGCGGUAGUGGCGCGUGCCCUGUCUUAAGUGUAACCAUCUCGUACCCUUUGAGGCUCCUAAAUACUCUACCGAACGCAUGUGACCGGUUGUUGUGUCGCGUGUAACCUAGAUUGACGCAGCGACGGAGGGGCAGCCUGAGAGACCGAACACCGAUUCCUUGGCAAGCCUUGUGCCUCAGUACGGGCGGGACCAUCCCGUCUGCAUCAGCACUUUGGCACAUUUCAAUCUGCCAGUUCCGGUCGGUACAGACGCGGCCUUGGAAGGAGACAAAGGGUACAUCCCAGCACGACUGACUUCGCCGAGCAGGUUAAUGGAUUAAGAGCGGGCCAGACGAGGGUCUUCACGGGUUGUGUGUGGAAGGGAAAGACAAUAUCUUAGCCGGGUGGCUGCCUGUUUGUUCUACAGCAGCAGGCGUGGAGGGAUUACCCUUCAAACCAGUGUUAAACGAUGAAGCAGAGUACUCUUGGGUCCAAAGAUAGUACUCUGGAGACUAUCUGUGUGCCCAGAGCCACUUGGGGAGAUGAGUCAUGAGGUCAGUGUUAUGCCCGUGAGGGAAAGUAGAGGAAACAUUCUCUGGCUGCCAUUACGUCCUGCUUAAAGGUGUG